GUAAUGAAGACAAUGCAUACUAUUGUCGAUUCACAAAUAGUAUCUGGGUGGACUGAAAUAUUUAUAGAUCGAUCACCAUUGCCGCUAGAAGACAUAAACAUCAUUAGGGAGCAAUGGGCCACAUUUUUUAUUGACCAUUACUUUAACUAGUUUGGGCUUAUGUUUUAUAGUAUUGCUUUAACUAGUUAGAACUUACAUUUCAUUGAGCAAUGUAGUCCAUUUAUGUAUUAGAUGUAUUUAAAACUAUUCAAUUAUAUAUAUAUGAUUAACAUUUAUCAUCUUGUCA